UGCGCAGGCGGUUAUAUAAGACAGAUGUGAAAGCCCCGGGCUCAACCUGGGAACUGCAUCCAAAACUGGCGAGCUAGAGUACGGUAGAGGGUGGUGGAAUUUCCUGUGUAGCGGUGAAAUGCGUAGAUAUAGGAAGGAACACCAGUGGCGAAGGCGACCACCUGGACUGAUACUGACACUGAGGUGCGAAAGCGUGGGGAGCAAACA
rnacentral:rRNA from 1 species